rnacentral:other from 1 species
AUUUCCCUGCGUUGCGCGUCGGAGAAGUUGAGAUUGGUGAGCCAACACCAUUUUUAAGGGAGCUGGACUUCAAAGCGUCUGGGGACGACUUUGAGAGGCACCCACUUAAUGAAAAGGGUUCAACCUAAUCCGUAUCCGACGGCAAACGCGGGGUUUUU